GAAACUUAUCAGGUCUAGACAUAGUAAGAAUUGACAGAUUGAGAGCUCUUUCUAGAUUCUAUGGGUGGUGGUGCAUGGCCGUUGAAAACUCCUGGAAUCUCUAAACUGGGAGGAAACGUCCACACGAGAUCUUCCUAGGAGUUUCAAAUCUAAUCUAGUCCCUAACUCUAAAACUACACUACAAAAUGAAUGCACUUACCUGCUUGAGCCAAGCCAAAUAGAGACUGUGAACAUGUGCUUGAAGGUGCUAGUCCCAUGCCUUUGAUCCCUUGA
rnacentral:ncRNA from 1 species